ACGAACGCUUGCGGCGUGCUUAACACAUGCAAGUCGAACGGAAAGGCCCUGCUUUUGUGGGGUUCUCGAGUGGCGACCGGGUGAGUAACACGUGAGUAACCUGCCCUUGACUUUGGGAUAACUUCAGGAAACUGGGGCUAAUACCGGAUAGGAGCUCCUGCUGCAUGGUGGGGGUUGGAAAGUUUCGGCGGUUGGGGAUGGACUCGCGGCUUAUCAGCUUGUUGGUGGGGUAGUGGCUUACCAAGGCUUUGACGGGUAGCCGGCCUGAGAGGGUGACCGGCCACAUUGGGACUGAGAUACGGCCCAGACUCCUACGGGAGGCAGCAGUGGGGAAUAUUGCACAAUGGGCGGAAGCCUGAUGCAGCAACGCCGCGUGCGGGAUGACGGCCUUCGGGUUGUAAACCGCUUUCGCCUGUGACGAAGCGUGAGUGACGGUAAUGGGUAAAGAAGCACCGGCUAACUACGUG
rnacentral:rRNA from 1 species